GCGGAGGAAAAGAAACCAACAGGGAUUGCCCUAGUAACGGCGAGUGAAGCGGCAACAGCUCAAAUUUGAAAUCUGGCCUCGGCCCGAGUUGUAAUUUGCAGAGGAUGUUUCUGGCGCGGUGCCUUCCGAGUUCCCUGGAACGGGACGCCACAGAGGGUGAGAGCCCCGUAUGGUUGGACACCAAGCCUAUGUGAAACUCCUUCGACGAGUCGAGUAGUUUGGGAAUGCUGCUCUAAAUGGGAGGUAAAUCUCUUCUAAAGCUAAAUACCGGCCAGAGACCGAUAGCGCACAAGUAGAGUGAUCGAAAGAUGAAAAGCACCUUGAAAAGGGGGUUAAACAGUACGUGAAAUUGUUGAAAGGGAAGCGCUCAUGACCAGACUUGUGCCGGGCGGUUCAUCCGGGGUUCUCCCCGGUGCACUCCGCCCGGUUCAGGCCAGCAUCGGUUCUCGUUGGGGGAUAAGAACGGUAGGAACGUGGCCCUCCCUCGGGAGGGUGUUAUAGCCUGCCGUACGAUACCCUGAUGGGGACCGAGGUUCGCGCUCCGCAAGGAUGCUGGCGUAAUGGUCAUCAGCGACCCGUCUUGAAACACGGACCAAGGAGUCGUCCAUUAGAGCGAGCGUUUGGGUGUAAAACCCGCACGCGUAAUGAAAGUGAAAUUAGGUGAGAGCUUCGGCGCAUCAUCGACCGAUCCUGAUGUUCUCGGAUGGAUUUGAGUAAGAGUUUUAACGGACGGACCCGAAAGACAGUGAACUAUGCUUGUAUAGGGUGAAGCCAGAGGAAACUCUGGUGGAGGCUCGCAGCGGUUCUGACGUGCAAAUCGAUCGUCAAAUAUGAGCAUGGGGGCGAAAGACUAAUCGAACUGUCUAGUAGCUGGUUACCGC
rnacentral:rRNA from 1 species